ACGUUGCUCUGUGGCACGUGUGGUCCUUCCUCACCCCGCUGGUGUUGUUUACUCAGUUCAUGGGGGUUGUGAUGCUCAUCUCACUCCUUGGAUGAUUUCUAAAGGUUUUAGAGUGCAUCAGUGUGAACGCUUCAACCUCCAGCCGGCUGAAAGCAUCGCAGACGUAAUGGAAAUGCUACAGUGCGUUUUUGCAUCUAGGAAGUGAGUGGUUUCCUGGGAAAAAUUGUAACUUUGCAGUCUGGUUGAAAUCAGAAUAAAUUCGAGCUCAUUUGCCUGUUCUUAAACUCAAUAAUUAUUGAAUUUUUCAAAUUCAAAAUAGAAGUAAUUGGUUUGCAGUGUUAAUCUGUUUGAAUCAUUGGCGAAAGUAUUGGUGUAAACAUUGAAGCAGCGUUUCAUUACAGGUACAUGAUGUCCUCCCAAAAUUCAGAUAAGUUGCUCAUUCUUUGGUUGUAUACGAUCACUGGGUGUAUAUAAGGGAAUGAUCGUGUCCUGUGCCUUUAACCCAGCUUCAGCAAUUACUAUAUUUCUCAUUUUUAUAAUAGUCUUGUUAGGUGAGAGGGCCAAUUGGAAGC